UACGUAGGGUGCAAGCGUUGUCCGGAAUUAUUGGGCGUAAAGAGCUCGUAGGCGGUUUGUCGCGUCUGCUGUGAAAACUCAGGGCUUAACUCUGAGCUUGCAGUGGGUACGGGCAGACUAGAGUGCGGUAGGGGGAGACUGGAAUUCCUGGUGUAGCGGUGAAAUGCGCAGAUAUCAGGAGGAACACCGGUGGCGAAGGCGGGUCUCUGGGCCGUAAACUGACGCUG
rnacentral:rRNA from 1 species